AGCGCAGCUCCGCGGCCCCUCGCAGCACGAAGCCGUCGUCGCAGUGCACCCACUUCCUCCCUAGCCCGGAAUUCGCCCGCCACUUCCGACCCCAACCGGAAGACGACCUCCCGCAACCUAUUUCGCACCUCGGCACUGGACGGGCUCCGAGCGGCCCCUCGGGGGGCCGCAGCGCUGCCGGGUUCGGCUCGGGGGGUGCGGGUGGGUGCUAAGUUGAACUAUGAUUGUCAUCCCCUAAUGGCUGACAACUGGGAAAGCAUCACUGGAGAAGGACCACCAAUGAGGCAGACUUUGCAGAAAGGUGAAAGGAGAGGAUCUGUUGCAAAAUGUGAAAAUGAAAGGGGGAAAGUCUACAGGUACCACUGAUCCCAGACAACCUUUGUAACAUGUGUGUUUGCCUGGUAAGUUUGCAUUUCAGAUCACAUGCGAAUAAACACAGCUCAAGGCCCAAACAAGUGACUGGCCCAUGAGAAAGGGCUCAUGCCAGCUUGGGAGCACAUACAGACUGCCUCUUGCUUCUGCACGUAGCAAGAAACUUGUUUGUGAGCAACUGCUCUGCAGCUGCAACCAGAUCUCCCUGCUUUCUGUGAAUUAUGCUUUCUUGUCUCCUGCUGUCAUAAAUACAGCACUGAGAGGUGGUGUGGGCACAGCUGCCCUUGCUGAGGUGAGUGCCUCUCUAUUAAACUGGU
rnacentral:lncRNA from 1 species